CACACAUUUGUAAUUCGGAGGACACAAUAAUUUAGGUUCUGCAUUGUAUAGAGUAUUGUAUAUUAAAUCGUCAUGAAGUUAGAAGAAUAUCGUAAUAUGGUUAUGGGCAAAUAGAAUUUUCGAAAAUCCAGUACCUAGGUAAUAAUAAUUAAAUCAUUGUAUGAAUAAGUUUUUUAAAUAUUCUCAAACAAUAUUUUUUUAACACCUUACCAAUUUCAUCAAUAGGUAUUUGUUAUAUUUAUGUUUUUGAAUCUAUGGCAUAACGUUUCUUUAUAAGUUCAAAAUUAUCUAAUUUGCAUGGGGGAUGAGCCACUGAUAAAGUGGUUAAGUAUUAAUCAUUAUGUCCAUUUUUAGCAUAGCACUACCAAUUACAAUCAACAAUAAAUGGACCCGUAUGUCUCCAUGGUCCAUAUGGUCAAGAUAAAAAAAUGUCGUGGAUCUAAACGACUCGGGACCAUAUUGUCCGGAGAUCCGAAUGUCUCUGACCUGGUAUAAAUUCUUAUCAGAAUGUUUACCUGGGUCUCGAUGACGCAGGAUCCGUCUGUCAUGUUACCGAAUUUCACUCUGGUCAAACAUAAGAAAGUGAUGCAGCAAAAUUUUACGUUAGUUGUACCACUUCGCACAAUUUUUAUUAUACAAAAUUAGAAAACAAUAUUGUAUUAAAUAUGAAAAUAAUUAUUUUUUAUGUCAUCAAACAUUAUUUGACAUUUGUUCUUAAUAUGAUUUGUAUAAUACAAGACGGAUGCAUCCACCUUGGUAGUUGGUACAACAUUAUCAUAUUAACA